AUAAGGGCGCACGGUGGAUGCCUUGGCACUAGGAGCCGAUGAAGGACGGGACUAACACCGAUAUGCUUUGGGGAGCUGUACGUAAGCUAUGAUCCAGAGAUUUCCGAAUGGGGGAACCCAACAUCUUUAAUAGGAUGUUACGAUUGUGUGAAUACAUAGCACAUUCGAGGUAGACGCAGAGAACUGAAACAUCUAAGUACCUGCAGGAAGAGAAAGAAAAUUCGAUUCCCUGAGUAGCGGCGAGCGAAACGGGAAAAGCCCAAACCAGCAAGCUUGCUUGUUGGGGUUGUAGGACUCCAAUAUGGUAGUUCUUUCAGAUAGUCGAAUGACUUGGAAAAGUCAGUCAAAGAGGGUAAAAACCCCGUAGACGAAAUGUGGAAGACACCUAGGAGGAUCCUGAGUACGGCGGAACACGAGAAAUUCCGUCGGAAUCCGGGAGGACCAUCUCCCAAGGCUAAAUACUCCCUAGUGACCGAUAGUGAACCAGUACCGUGAGGGAAAGGUGAAAAGCACCCCGGAAGGGGAGUGAAAUAGAACCUGAAACCGUGUGCCUACAACAAGUCAAAGCCCGUUAAUGGGUGAUGGCGUGCCUUUUGUAGAAUGAACCGGCGAGUUACGAUUGCAUGCGAGGUUAAGUUGAAGAGACGGAGCCGCAGCGAAAGCGAGUCUGAAUAGGGCGUUUGAGUAUGUAGUCGUAGACCCGAAACCAUGUGAUCUACCCAUGUCCAGGUUGAAGGUGCGGUAAAACGCACUGGAGGACCGAACCC
rnacentral:rRNA from 1 species